AUUCGUUGGAUGAGUGUGAGGCAUUGGAUUGAUUUCAUUCAAUCCAAGCCCCACAUUCAUCAGAGGUUCGU
rnacentral:pre_miRNA from 1 species